ACCGAACCGACUAAUGUUGAAAAAUUAGCGGAUGACCUGUGGCUGGGGGUGAAAGGCCAAUCAAACCGGGAGAUAGCUGGUUCUCCCCGAAAGCUAUUUAGGUAGCGCCUCGUGAAUUCAUCUCCGGGGGUAGAGCACUGUUUCGGCUAGGGGGCCAUCCCGGCUUACCAACCCGAUGCAAACUGCGAAUACCGGAGAAUGUUAUCACGGGAGACACACGGCGGGUGCUAACGUCCGUCGUGAAGAGGGAAACAACCCAGACCGCCAGCUAAGGUCCCAAAGUCAUGGUUAAGUGGGAAACGAUGUGGGAAGGCCCAGACAGCCAGGAUGUUGGCUUAGAAGCAGCCAUCAUUUAAAGAAAGCGUAAUAGCUCACUGGUCGAGUCGGCCUGCGCGGAAGAUGUAACGGGGCUAAACCAUGCACCGAAGCUGCGGCAGCGAACGUAUCACUUAAAGCGAUUCAGCGGGUUACGAUUGACGGAGCGAAGCGACGUCAAAGCGUAUACAAAGUCGAGUCGGUUUAAGGAUACGUUCGUUGGGUAGGGGAGCGUUCUGUAAGCCUGUGAAGGUGUGUCGUGAGGCAUGCUGGAGGUAUCAGAAGUGCGAAUGCUGACAUAAGUAACGAUAAAGCGGGUGAAAAGCCCGCUCGCCGGAAGACCAAGGGUUCCUGUCCAACGUUAAUCGGGGCAGGGUGAGUCGACCCCUAAGGCGAGGCCGAAAGGCGUAGUCGAUGGGAAACGGGUUAAUAUUCCCGUACUUGGUGUUACUGCGAAGGGGGGACGGAGAAGGCUAUGUUGGCCGGGCGACGGUUGUCCCGGUUUAAGCGUGUAGGUGUGUGUUCCAGGUAAAUCCGGUUCACUUUAACACUGAGGCGUGA
rnacentral:rRNA from 1 species